rnacentral:rRNA from 1 species
AGAGUUUGAUCAUGGCUCAGGAUGAACGCUAGCUACAGGCUUAACACAUGCAAGUCGAGGGGCAGCAUGGUCUUAGCUUGCUAAGGCCGAUGGCGACCGGCGCACGGGUGAGUAACGCGUAUCCAACCUGCCUUACACUCUUGGACAGCCUUCUGAAAGGGAGAUUAAUACAAGAUGUUAUCAUGAGUAAGCAUUUUCGCAUGAUUAAAGGUUUACCGGUGUAAGAUGGGGAUGCGUUCCAUUAGAUAGUAGGCGGGGUAACGGCCACCUAGUCUUCGAUGGAUAGGGGUUCUGAGAGGAACGGUCCCCCANAUUGGAACUGAGACACGGUCCAAACUCCUACGGGAGGCA